rnacentral:tRNA from 1 species
ACCUGGGUGGCUCAGUGGUUGAGCACCUGCCUUCAUCUCAGGUCAUGAUCCUGGGGUCCUGGGAUCGAGUCCCAGUCAGGUU